rnacentral:rRNA from 1 species
UCUGCCCGCUGGCGGCGUGCCUAAUACAUGCAAGUCGAGCGAACAGACGAGGAGCUUGCUCCUCUGACGUUAGCGGCGGACGGGUGAGUAACACGUGGAUAACCUACCUAUAAGACUGGGAUAACUUCGGGAAACCGGAGCUAAUACCGGAUAAUAUAUUGAACCGCAUGGUUCAAUAGUGAAAGACGGUUUUGCUGUCACUUAUAGAUGGAUCCGCGCCGCAUUAGCUAGUUGGUAAGGUAACGGCUUACCAGGGCAACGAUGCGUAGCCGACCUGAGAGGGUGAUCGGCCACACUGGAACUGAGACACGGUCCAGACUCCUACGGGAGGCAGCAGUAGGGAAUCUUCCGCAAUGGGCGAAAGCCUGACGGAGCAACGCCGCGUGAGUGAUGAAGGUCUUCGGAUCGUAAAACUCUGUUAUUAGGGAAGAACAAAUGUGUAAGUAACUAUGCACGUCUUGACGGUACCUAAUCAGAAAGCCACGGCUAACUACGUG